rnacentral:rRNA from 1 species
GACGAACGCUGGCGGCGUGCUUAACACAUGCAAGUCGAGCGGUAAGGCCCUUUCGGGGGUACACGAGCGGCGAACGGGUGAGUAACACGUGGGUGACCUGCCCUCAGCUCUGGGAUAAGCCUGGGAAACUGGGUCUAAUACCGGAUAUGACUCCAUGACGCAUGUUGUGGGGUGGAAAGCCUUGUGCGGCUGAGGAUGGGCCCGCGGCCUAUCAGCUUGUUGGUGGGGUGAUGGCCUACCAAGGCGACGACGGGUAGCCGGCCUGAGAGGGCGACCGGCCACACUGGGACUGAGACACGGCCCAGACUCCUACGGGAGGCAGCAGUGGGGAAUCUUGCGCAAUGGGCGAAAGCCUGACGCAGCGACGCCGCGUGAGGGAUGACGGCCUGGU